CAUGCAAGUCGAACGAGCGAGAGAGAGCUUGCUUUCUCGAGCGAGUGGCGAACGGGUGAGUAACGCGUGAGGAACCUGCCUCAAAGAGGGGGACAACAGUUGGAAACGACUGCUAAUACCGCAUAAGCCCACGACCCGGCAUCGGGUAGAGGGAAAAGGAGCAAUCCGCUUUGAGAUGGCCUCGCGUCCGAUUAGCUAGUUGGUGAGGUAACGGCCCACCAAGGCGACGAUCGGUAGCCGGACUGAGAGGUUGAACGGCCACAUUGGGACUGAGACACGGCCCAGACUCCUACGGGAGGCAGCAGUGGGGAAUAUUGCACAAUGGGGGAAACCCUGAUGCAGCGACGCCGCGUGGAGGAAGAAGGUCUUCGGAUUGUAAACUCCUGUUGUUGAGGAAGAUAAUGACGGUACUCAACAAGGAAGUGACGGCUAACUACGUGCCAGCAGCCGCGGUAAAACGUAGGUCACAAGCGUUGUCCGGAAUUACUGGGUGUAAAGGGAGCGCAGGCGGGAAGACAAGUUGGAAGUGAAAUCCAUGGGCUCAACCCAUGAACUGCUUUCAAAACUGUUUUUCUUGAGUAGUGCA
rnacentral:rRNA from 1 species